GAUGGGCUAAACGUUUACCGUGGUGU
rnacentral:piRNA from 1 species